rnacentral:rRNA from 1 species
GUCCAUGCCGUAACGAUGUCUACUAGCCGUUGGGUCUUGAGACUUUAGUGGCGCAGCUAACGCGAUAAGUAGACCGCCUGGGAGUACGGUCGCAAGACUAAACUCAAAGGAAUUGACGGGCCCCGCACAAGCAGCGGAGCAUGCGGCUUAAUUCGACGCAACGCGAAUAACCUUACCAAGGCUUGACAUAUACAGGAAUAUGGCAGAGAUGUCAUAGCCGCAAGGUCUGUAUACAGGUGGUGCAUGGUUGUCGU